AAUCAACGCUGGCGGCGUGCCUCAGACAUGCAAGUCGAACGAUUAAGACUUCCUUCGGGAAGUGCAUAAAGUGGCGCACGGGUGAGUAACACGUAAGUAAUCUACCCUCGAGUGGGGAAUAACGUUCGGAAACGAACGCUAAUACCGCAUAAUGCAGCGGCAUCGCAAGAUGACAGUUGUUAAAGGAGUAAUUCGGUUGAGGAGGAGCUUGCGGCAGAUUAGCUAGUUUGUAAGGUAACGGCUUACCAAGGCUACGAUCUGUAUCAGGGCUACGAGGACGGUCGGACACACUGACAAUGAAUAUCGGGUCAGACUCCUACGGGAGGCAGCAGUCGGGAAUUUUGGGCAAUGGGGGAAACCCUGACCCAGCAACGCCGCGUGAAGGAUGAAGUAUUUCGGUAUGUAAACUUCGAAAGAAUGGGAAGAAUAAACGACGGUACCAUUUAUAAGCUCCGGCUAACUACGUGCCAGCCGCCGCGGUAAUAC
rnacentral:rRNA from 1 species